CCAAUAGCGUAUAUUAAAGUUGUUGUGGUUAAAAAGCUCGUAGUUGAACCUUGGGCCUGGCUGGCCGGUCCCCCUCACCGGGUGCACUGAUCCAGCCGGGCCUUUCCCUCUGUGGAACCCCAUGGCCUUCACUGGCUGUGGCGGGGAAACAGGACUUUUACUUUGAAAAAAUUAGAGUGCUCCAGGCAGGCCUAUGCUCGAAUACAUUAGCAUGGAAUAAUAGAAUAGGACGUGUGGUUCUAUUUUGUUGGUUUCUAGAACCGCCGUAAUGAUUAAUAGGGACAGUCGGGGGCAUCAGUAUUCAAUUGUCAGAGGUGAAAUUCUUGGAUCUAUUGAAGACUAACUACUGCGAAAGCAUUUGCCAAGGAUGUUUUCAUUGAUAAGGAACGAAAG
rnacentral:rRNA from 1 species